rnacentral:lncRNA from 1 species
AUGAUGUCUCAAAGAAUACAAUAUACACAUACGUCACAGGUUCAAGAGAUAUCCUACCAGCAGAGUCCAGACUCUAUGAUGAAAUUCCCCAGCAAAAGGUAAGCUGAUGCUACUCAUAGACACCCUCACCCCACCACCAGGACAUAGUCAGGGCAACCAUUGCUUUCUGCUUGCUGUUGCCUAGAAAGUCCCACCAGGAAACACAAUGUCAGGGGAAUGAUGCCAUGAGUCUCUUCAUGAAGACAGAUAUGUAGUCAAUUGUCACUUCAUGGUUUCAGGCCAAGCUUCUGCAUGGAGGGGCACGGGUUAGAUGUCAGUGACUCAUGACUAAGAAUCAUCACUUAGAGGAGCCAAACAAGGAAGCCCCUUGUAUGAGGUGAGGGCUGUUAUGGAGCCACUGACAUGGUAAACCAGUUGCUAAAGUGGCUCCAAGAGCACAAACUGACAGAAGGACACCCUCCCUGGAUUAUAUUACCUGAUCUAAGAGCAGGCACACCUUGCUUUCUUCAGACUCUUUGUCACUCUCUCUCACACCCCUCUCUCCUACUUGCCUUUUACCUGCCUGCUGGUCCCUCACCUGUGUUCUGAAUCAUCUUCAUCUGUGCUUCCACCAGCCUCCUUCCCUGAAGUCUGCAUGAAGGGAAGGGGAAAACUGAGGUCCUCCUGGUCAGUCUGGUUCUGUGCUUGAACUGACAAGUGUUCUGGACCCAUAAAGCCCAUGGAAAGCUAAAGUCCUGACUGAGCAAGACUCAGUCUGAAGCAUGAAGACCCUUCCUCUUAGCUCCUGAGGUUUUUUGCCCCAAAAUUCUGCCUAACUGCUACCCACUCCCCCUCACGCCCUCCUGAUGUUGAUCCUCUCCAAAGUUGAAUGGAACUAGAGUUGAGGGCAGGAGAGGAAGCCAUUCAAUAAAAGUGGGACCAGGGAGGGGUGAUGGCAGGGAAGGAAUUAGGGAGGGAGACUCCUAAGGUUUGGCCUCUGUACCCUCUCUGAGGGGAAGAUGGAUGUUUUUCAGGUGCUUCCUUCCAAUGAAGGGCCAAUGAACACGAUUUUUCCACAGUGCAGAACUCUGACAAGAUGGGGAAAACCAUCAUACAGGAGUGCAAACCUCCCAGGACUUCAGGCUAUGAAAUUGUCGUCUAGGCUGGUGGGCAUCGCUCUCCCUCUGGAAACUGAGUUACAACCACUGAUCGUAGCAGGUGCCCUGGACCUAGACCUUCUCUUCCAGCUCUUACCAGGAGACUGCAAAACACCACAUCCCAACAUGUAAGAAGCAAAGCAAGAAACCUUCUGUUGCUGGGCACAGCUUGUCCCCCGUGGACACAUGGAUGCUUGCUCUUUCUGACUAGCUCCCUUCUGGAUGAAUGAGAAGGCAGGUUUCCUAAUACAGUGCUUCCCAAACUUCUUCACAACACAUCAC